rnacentral:rRNA from 1 species
AGAGUUUGAUCAUGGCUCAGGAUGAACGCUGGCGAGAUGCCUUACACAUGCAAGUCAUACGAGAAUUUUUAAUUCAAGUGGCGGACGGGUGAGUAACACGUAAGAAUUUGCCUUUAGGAGGGGGACAACAACUGGAAACGGUUGCUAAUACCCCAUAUGCUUUCGAGUGAAAUGGUUUUUCCGCCUAAAGAGAAGCUUGCGGCUGAUUAGCUUGUUGGUAAGGUAAUGGCUUACCAAGGCGACGAUCAGUAUCUGGUUUGAGAGGACGAUCAGACACACUGGAACUGAGACACGGUCCAGACUCCUACGGGAGGCAGCAGUGGGGAAUUUUCCGCAAUGGGCGAAAGCCUGACGGAGCAAUACCGCGUGAGGGAAGACUGCCUAUGGGUUGUAAACCUCUUUUUUCAGGGAGGAAUAAAAUGACGUGUACCUGAAGAAUAAGCAUCGGCUAACUCCGUGCCAGCAGCCGCGGUAAGACGGAGGAUGCAAGUGUUAUCCGGAAUCACUGGGCGUAAAGCGUCUGUAGGUGGUUUAAUAAGUCAACUGUUAAAUCUUGAGGCUCAACUUCAAAAUCGCAGUCGAAACUAUUAGACUAGAGUAUAGUAGGGGUAAAGGGAAUUUCCAGUGGAGCGGUGAAAUGCGUAGAUAUUGGAAAGAACACCGAUGGCGAAAGCACUUUACUGGGCUAUUACUAACACUC